AAUCUAAAUCAGCGAGUAAAAUCACUGACAUGAUGAAGAAGUCGGAUAAGGCAUAAAAAACCCAGCAUAGGGUUGCCUUAUCCGCCACAUCGGGAAACUGGUGUGAGAGACUUCGGUCUCU
rnacentral:ncRNA from 12 species